rnacentral:rRNA from 1 species
CAGUAGCCGCGGUAAUACGAAGGGGGCUAGCGUUGCUCGGAAUCACUGGGCGUAAAGGGUGCGUAGGCGGGUCUUUAAGUCAGGGGUGAAAUCCUGGAGCUCAACUCCAGAACUGCCUUUGAUACUGAAGAUCUUGAGUUCGGGGGAGGUGAGUGGAACUGCGAGUGUAGAGGUGAAAUUCGUAGAUAUUCGCAAGAACACCAGUGGCGAAGGCGGCUUACUGGCUCAUUCUAGACGCUGAGGUGCGAAAGCGUGGGGAGCAAACAGGAUUAGAUACCCCGGUAGUCCCUGUCUCUUAUAA